rnacentral:rRNA from 1 species
UACGUAGGGGGCAAGCGUUGUCCGGAAUCAUUGGGCGUAAAGCGCGUGUAGGCGGCCAGAAAAGUCCGCUGUGAAAACUCGAGGCUCAACUUCGAGCUGUCGGUGGAAACUUUCUGGCUAGAGUCCGGAAGAGGAGAAUGGAAUUCCUGGUGUAGCGGUGAAAUGCGCAGAUAUCAGGAAGAACACCCGUGGCGAAGGCAGCUCUCUGGGACGGUACUGACGCUGAGACGCGAAAGCGUGGGGAGCGAACAGG